CACUGAUAAAAGGAAAAGUUCGGGGGGGAGGGGGGUUAGCAAGGGUUUAUUUCAACAUACAGUGUCAGUCCACAUUAAACAUAAGCCAGGAAGGGAGCUCAAGGUAGGAGGAGCCUGGCAGCAGAAACUGGAACAAGCCACGGAGGAAAGCUGUUUAAUGGCUUCCUUCCAGGCUCAGCGUUAGUUACCUUUCUUCUGUCUCCUAGGAUAACCUCGGCAGGACUAGGACUGGACCCUUCCACAGUAAUCUGCAAUCAAGAAAAUACCCUACAGUCUUGUCCACAGUUUCCGGGAAACGACUCGCACACCUUAGAUCCAGAACCAAUGCACUGCGGCCCUGAAGACUGGUUUGUACAGCGCAUUAUAACUGCCGGGAAAUACCAGAUAACAGAAUUAAUGCAGUUAUUGUGAGCUUCAUAGACGGAGCUCUAAAAAAAAAAAAAAAAAAAAAAAAAAGGCAAGUAUUUAAUGGAGCAUUUAGAAAAAAAAUGGAUAACUCUCCAGGGCCAAGCAUCGUUUCUACAGGGAUAUCCUGCCCAAACCACAAGUUAAGAAACCAAUGAGGACACUGCUGCUUAUUAGCUUAAAAGAGUGUUUUGAUUUUCAGAUCUUUCACCACUUAUUUACCCAGACAGAAAAAUUCAUCUAUACAACACUGAGAUUUGUUUGUUUGUAUGUUUGGUUGGUUGAAAAAAAAAAGUAACUAUAAUUGACCCUCAUGUUGAUCCCAUUAGACAAGAAUAAGACUACUACCACAAUUUUUGAGCCAAAUUUGAAACAAACUUGAUUUAUUUAUUGGGGUGCACUCAAGGACCAGUCAGCAACUAUCUCCAAAGUCAGGUUAAAGAGAGCUACUGAAGUUCAUUUCAUAGGGCACCCUUAAGAAGUAAAAUCUUGAGGAAUUGCAAAGCAGAUGUACAAAAUCGAGACAAGAGAGCAGUAAGGAAACAGAGGAGAAAAUUCUCAAACAAAACAAAACAUAACACAAAUCAGCCACCACCACAUGAUCACCAUGUGAUUUGGAGAAGGGGGACA